AUGUGCUAUACAUCACAUCCUCGCUUCCUUGGCCGCUUUGGCGCCCGUGGAGUUCAUGCUCGUCGGCGGGACGGUGCAAGGCGCAACUCUGAUGCAGCGGCGUGGAUGUGUGGCGUAGGAGGCGGUUCCUCGCCGGUUGGAUGGCGUUCAGGCGCAACACCGGCACCCACUGAAUAUUGUCUCGGCUACAACCUCCCUCGUUGUGGAUCCAUGCUUAAGCUCUCUCAGAGCUCAGGCACUCUCGGCCGUCGGAUCUUUUUCCUGAUGAUUUAUGGCUUUGUGAUUAAUCAGUUUGCGGUUGUUGAACUUGGCUCUGUCCUUGGAUGGUCAUUUCUGAUGAGUGAUAACCAGGGCAUUUUCACCCUUCUUCGUCCGCUCCUGUCGGUGCCUCUCUCGAUUCGAGCCGGUUGCAUCUUCGUUCAUAGAUAUUUGGGUCAUCUGCAGGUUGACCCCUCUUCUCCGCAUACGUUUCAAUCUUCUUUUAGGGCUAUGCCGGUUUGCCCCUACUAUUACUAUGCUCACGGGGAACAGAAGCAUGAGGGCAUGGAUCCCCAAGAAUGCAAUUAUGCGCAGUCCGGCGGUUCCAUGGUAUGCUUGACCCAGAUCAUUGGCGCUGAGAGAGGACUGUACCCAGGGGCUAUGGCAUACUGCAUGAUUUUAGGCGCACCAGCUCGUCAGAUCUUAGAUGUUGUAUUAAAGUAUGACUGUUUGAGAUGCCCCCUCCCAUUGCCUGUAACAAUGAGUUCUUACUUCUGCAGAAAAUGCCCAAGAGAAGUUCAGUUCAAGCUAAGCAUACAAUUUUUGAAUUUGAUUAAGCUGGAGAUAGAAAAAAUACCACUUCUCAUGCACCAAGUGAUCCCCAGAAGGAAAUUAUUAGUCAUUUUGGUGUUUGGAGAUACACUGUUAAGUUUUACUGAUUCACAUUUUGUUGUUCUAAGUGAUGAUCUUGCUGCUACCUCGAGCAAAUCAACUGAAGGUUUGGUGGCAGGUUAUGCCCUUGAUGGCGCCGCCUUUUGUCGACCUGACUGGCAUUUCCUCGACCAUGUGGAACCAACAAAUCUACCUUACCUCUCCUGUGAUGCUUUCUAUGUUGUGGUUUCCUUAUAUGCCUGGGAGAAGAUCGCCCAACUCACACACACACCGGCGCUACUGCCGGCAUCAUGGGAUGGUUUGGUCUCCAUCAAAGCAUGGCUAAUAGCAUGCCAUGGCAGGACACGGGAAGACAGGAAGAAAGGGACCUUGUCCAUCAUACAACUUAUGGCAUGGGAGAUAUGGCGCGAAAGGAAUGGGCGUAUUUUUCAGCAAGAAUACUUGGACAGGGAGCGCUUCAUAGAGAAAGCAAGAGAGGAGAUACGACUCUGGAACAUGCACCUCCAACAACAGUCCAACGCGCGGCACGCUAAAAAUCAGUUUAUAGCGCACCGAUCGCCUGAUUUGGCGCAACGGGGAGCGCUGGCUCCAACAGCCGCGGCAAAAUGCAGCGCGCAAAAAUGCAGCACGCGCGAGCAGCCGGCGCAUGCCAUAUGUUGA
rnacentral:rRNA from 1 species